rnacentral:SRP_RNA from 16 species
UAACGCCGUGAAGCGCGAGCCGGAGCUGCAGGAGUAUUGGAAAUCCACCGACCUGUACUCCAAGCUGUCGUCCGACGCUGCGUCCCGCGGGGCCGAGCGGUUCGUG